GGAGAAAUUAAGGUCCUCACAUGGCGCGAAACCAACUUUUUCCAUGUCAAACUUGGACAGCGGCUGUCCAUGACACACAUGACAACAUCAUCUUCUAGUGGCGUGGAGCUCCACUCCACAGAAAAUACUGUAAUAAAGGAACUGGAAGAAGAGCCCUUUCGCUUUGUGGCCUUUAAAAUCAAAGGUGAACAGGUGGAGUUUGUGGACGCCACCAAUGCCACCAGAAUGGUUCCAUUAGAGGAGUGGAACCAAAAAUUCCCCGAUGGCCCUAAUCUUCCCCUAGAGGGGUUUUUGUGAGACUACCCUCAGAGGCCGGCCUCUUCGACCUGCGACCAGAGAUGCUGGCGUGGCUCCACGACACCAAGUUGGAACUCUGACGUUACACGUGAGAGAGAGAGAGAGAGAGGCAACGUCA